rnacentral:rRNA from 1 species
UACGUAGGGUGCAAGCGUUGUCCGGAAUUAUUGGGCGUAAAGAGCUCGUAGGCGGUCUGUCGCGUCUGCUGUGAAAAUUCGGGGCUCAACCCCGGACCUGCAGUGGGUACGGGCAGACUAGAGUGUGGUAGAGGAGACUGGAAUUCCUGGUGUAGCGGUGGAAUGCGCAGAUAUCAGGAGGAACACCAGUGGCGAAGGCGGGUCUCUGGGCCACAACUGACGCUGAGGAGCGAAAGCAUGGGGAGCGAACAGG